ACAGAGGAGGACCAAGGGAAGAAGAAGGUCACCGUCUUCUUCGGGACGCAGACCAGGACGGCUGAGGGGUUCGCGAAGGCGCUGGCUGAGGAGGCAAAAGCACGGUACCCUAAUGCCAUAUUUAAAGUCGUGGAUAUCGACGAAUAUGCUACUGAGGAUGAUGAGUACGAGGAGAACCUGAAAAAGGAGAGCUUGGCUUUGUUCUUCUUGGCUACGUAUGGAGAUGGCGAGCCUACUGAUAAUGCUGCCCGAUUC